rnacentral:rRNA from 1 species
CGAUGGUAAGGUAGUGUCUUACCAUGGUGGCAACGGGUAACGGACCGUGGGUGCGGGACUCCGGAGAGGGAGCCUGAGAAACGGCUACCACAUCCAAGGAAGGCAGCAGGCGCGUAAAUUACCCAAUCCAGACUCUGGGAGGUAGUGACAAGAAAUAUCAAUAGGGGUCCCAUAAGGUCUUCUAAUUGGAAUGAGAACAAGCUAAACAGCUUAUCGAGAAUCCAGCAGAGGGCAAGUCUGGUGCCAGCGGCCGCGGUAAUUCCAGCUCUGUAAGCGUAUACCAAAGUUGUUGCAGUUAAAACGCUCGUAGUCGGACUUUGGCAAUUCCGGAUGUGUGCGCGUCGUGCGCGCACUUUGCAGGGGUUGCUUUUGUGGGCAUGCGUGGGAUGAUGCGACUUUAUUGUCGAACGUCCCUACGCAACCACCUUUUACUGUGAGAAAAUUAGAGUGUUCAAAGCAGGCAAUUGCCGUGAAUACAUUAGCAUGGAAUAAUAGGUUAGGACUCGGUCUUAUUUUGUUGGUUUGUUAGGGCUGAGUAAUGAUUAAGAGGGACAGUUGGGGGCAUUUGUAUUCAGGCGCUAGAGGUGAAAUUCUUAGAUUGAUGGAAGACAAACUGCUGCGAAAGCGUCUGCCAAGGAUGUUUUCAUUGAUCAAGAACGAAAGUAAGGGGAUCGAAGACGAUCAGAUACCGUCGUAGUCUUUACUAUAAACGAUGAGGACUGGGGAUCGGGCGAGGAAUAUCGAUGACCCGCCCGGCACCCUCCGGGAAACCAAA